rnacentral:misc_RNA from 1 species
GAUGAAGAACGCAGCGAAAUGCGAUAAGUAAUGUGGAUUGCAGAAUUCAGUGAAUCAUCGAAUCUUUGAACGCACAUUGCGCCCGCCAGUAUUCUGGCGGGCAUGCCUGUUCGAGCGUCAUUUCAACCCUCAGGCCCCCAGUGCCUGGUGUUGGGGAUCGGCCCAGCCUUCCUGUAAGGCCGCCGGCCCCGAAAUCUAGUGGCGGUCUCGCUGUAGUCCUCCUCUGCGUAGUAGCACAACCUCGCAGUUGGAACGCGGCGGUGGCCAUGCCGUUAAACACCCCACUUCUGAAAGUUGACCUCGGAUCAGGUAGGAAUACCCGCUGAACUUAAGCAUAUCAAUAAGCGGAGGA